GAUCUCUUCUGCCUCUGUCCCUGACGGAGCCGCCGAGCCUGCGGCUGCCGUGGUCAUGAGGCUGGUGCUCCCCAGCAGCUCUUCCAGGGGGACACGCGGCCACCACUCAGCGCCCCCGCACCCCGACCAUGUCACAGCUGCGCUUCUGGCUGCAGUUCGCUGCGCUCAACAAGGUAACUGGCCAGGGAUCAGCAGGGCCACCCAGAGCCACCUGUGGCGCCUCUGAGUUCCCACAGGUGGCGGAGCUGUGGCACGGGACGCCCCCAGCCCUGCCCACUCUCAACUUUUCUUGGCAAGUCAUAGUGAACAUGCCAGAAGUUUUUAAGCCAGAGACUUGAGGCUCAGCGUAGUGGCCAGCGUGAGGACAGCUGUGGGAGGGAGCCUCGGGUACAGGUGUCCAGAGCUGGUCCAGCUGCUCUCUGUAUCAGGGGAGGGAUGAGCUGGGGUGUCCUCGGUCCAGGGGGACAAUUGUCAACACUUCUGCAUGGGCUAAAGCAGGACUCAAUCUCAGCAAGGUCUGAUGGGAUAGGAAGAGGCAGGAGCCCAUCUUUUCUCUGGGUUGUCAGUCCAGAAGGGGUGGAGGGUGUCUGUGUUUCUGUGGGUCUCUUCUGGGUUUGCCUUCCUGGGCUGGGGAGAUGUUUGCUGUGUGACCUGGGACAAUCAAGGGCUAGUCCCUGCCAGUCCCUUCGCUGUGGCCUUUCCCACAGAGGUAGGUACCUUGCCAAUGUGGGUCUGUGUAUACUAGACCCACAUUGUAGACAACGGAGUGGGGUCCUGAAUUGUCCUGGGGCAUUACCUAUCAGGCCUAAGCAAGGCCAAACACAGGGUCAGACUGUGGCACUCCAGAAGCCCUGUGUCCAGAGGAAGUGGGUCAGGAAGUUUAUCCCUACUGGCCUGGUUGGUAAAAGUUUUAGACUAGUAUUGAAGGCUCCAAGUGAGGUGCUUGCCUGCCACCCCAGUACUAAAGGUGGAGGUAGGAGGAUUGGGGGUUCAGGGCCAGCCAGAGCAAUGUGAGACUGUCCCAGGGUCGUACCGUGCAAUCCUCAGGGCUCUCACUUCCUGUCCCUAUGUAAUGCCCAUCACACCGAGUGAGGGGCUUUCCACUGACACAUGGUACCCUCAACCAUAGUGGCCUGCUGCUUCCAGUGCCUCAGUUUCCCUUCAGUUCCUUUCUCUGUCUAUGAUCCUUUAGGACAUCAGCCAUCCUCUUUCUUCAGGCUGUCUCCCUGGGACAGCUGUCCCAUCUUAGGCUGAGGCCACUGUGGGAGUCCCUGGGUUUGCCUCCACCCGCC
rnacentral:lncRNA from 1 species